AGGAUAAACGCUGGCGGCAGGCUUAACACAUGCAAGUCGAACGCCCCGCAAGGGGAGUGGCAGACGGGUGAGUAACGCGUGGGAAUCUACCCAGUUCUACGGGAUAACACAGGGAAACUUGUGCUAAUACCGUAUACGCCCUACGGGGAAAGAUUUAUCGGGAUUGGAUGAGCCCGCGUUGGAUUAGCUAGUUGGUGGGGUAAUGGCCUACCAAGGCGACGAUCCAUAGCUGGUCUGAGAGGAUGAUCAGCCACACUGGGACUGAGACACGGCCCAGACUCCUACGGGAGGCAGCAGUGGGGAAUAUUGGACAAUGGGCGCAAGCCUGAUCCAGCCAUGCCGCGUGAGUGAUGAAGGCCUUAGGGUUGUAAAGCUCUUUCAGUGGGGAAGAUAAUGACGGUACCCACAGAAGAAGCCCCGGCUAACUUCGUGCCAGCAGCCGC
rnacentral:rRNA from 1 species